UAAGUACUCCCUCCAUCCGGAUAAACUUGUCCCAAGCUUGUUUCUCAAAUGGAUGUAUCUAGCACUAACUUGAUGCUAGAUACAUCUAUUCGAGGGACAAGCUUUUUCGGACGGAGGGAAUACAAA
rfam:Triticum aestivum genome assembly, contig: Triticum_aestivum_CS42_TGACv1_scaffold_224900_3B